rfam:Gymnopus luxurians FD-317 M1 unplaced genomic scaffold GYMLTscaffold_68, whole genome shotgun sequence.
GUCCGCGUAACUCAGUGGUAGAGUGUGAGAUUGCAAUGUUUGAUUAAAUCUUGAAGUCGCGUGUUCGAACCACGCCGCGGACU